rnacentral:lncRNA from 1 species
AUGAACUGGGGGGGAGAAAAUCACUACUGGUUGCUUUGCUUGCAGUUCGCAUUUGGACUUGUGCUUGCAGAAAUUGAGCUGAACUUCCUUCAGUGUUACUGCAUCUGUGAGGUUCAUAUGUGGAUACCGUUGACCCCCGAGGGACAGCACUGGGAGAUGAUACGCAACUUUUAAGGGAUUAACAAUGAUGUGGCUCUCUUACAUCAAGAAGUGAGAAAAUUUUGGAGGUAAAGUAAAGGGGAAAUAAAGUAGAAAUGAUUCUUAAGUCA